rnacentral:rRNA from 1 species
AUGAACGCUGGCGGCAUGCCUAACACAUGCAAGUCGAACGGCAGCGCGGGUAGCUUGCUACCUGGCGGCGAGUGGCGGACGGGUGAGUAAUGCAUAGGAAUCUGCCCAGUAGCGGGGGAUAACCCGGGGAAACCCGGAUUAAUACCGCAUACGCCCUACGGGGAAAGCAGGGGAUCUUCGGACCUUGCACUAUUGGAUGAGCCUAUGUCUGAUUAGCUUGUUGGUGGGGUAACGGCCUACCAAGGCGACGAUCAGUAGCUGGUCUGAGAGGACGAUCAGCCACACCGGAACUGAGACACGGUCCGGACUCCUACGGGAGGCAGCAGUGGGGAAUAUUGGACAAUGGGGGAAACCCUGAUCCAGCAAUGCCGCGUGUGUGAAGAAGGCCCGCGGGUUGUAAAGCACUUUCAGUUGGGAAGAAACAGCAGCCGGCUAAUAUCCGGUUGUCUUGACGUAACCAACAGAAGAAGCACCGGCUAACUCCGUGCCAGCAGCCGCGGU